rnacentral:rRNA from 1 species
AGGGAAACCGAGUCUUAACUGGGCGUUAAGUUGCAGGGUAUAGACCCGAAACCCGGUGAUCUAGCCAUGGGCAGGUUGAAGGUUGGGUAACACUAACUGGAGGACCGAACCGACUAAUGUUGAAAAAUUAGCGGAUGACUUGUGGCUGGGGGUGAAAGGCCAAUCAAACCGGGAGAUAGCUGGUUCUCCCCGAAAGCUAUUUAGGUAGCGCCUCGUGAAUUCAUCUCCGGGGGUAGAGCACUGUUUCGGCAAGGGGGUCAUCCCGACUUACCAACCCGAUGCAAACUGCGAAUACCGGAGAAUGUUAUCACGGGAGACACACGGCGGGUGCUAACGUCCGUCGUGAAGAGGGAAACAACCCAGACCGCCAGCUAAGGUCCCAAAGUCAUGGUUAAGUGGGAAACGAUGUGGGAAGGCCCAGACAGCCAGGAUGUUGGCUUAGAAGCAGCCAUCAUUUAAAGAAAGCGUAAUAGCUCACUGGUCGAGUCGGCCUGCGCGGAAGAUGUAACGGGGCUAAACCAUGCACCGAAGCUGCGGCAGCGACGCUUAUGCGUUGUUGGGUAGGGGAGCGUUCUGUAAGCCUGUGAAGGUGGCCUGUGAGGGUUGCUGGAGGUAUCAGAAGUGCGAAUGCUGACAUAAGUAACGAUAAAGCGGGUGAAAAGCCCGCUCGCCGGAAGACCAAGGGUUCCUGUCCAACGUUAAUCGGGGCAGGGUGAGUCGACCCCUAAGGCGAGGCCGAAAGGCGUAGUCGAUGGGAAACAGGUUAAUAUUCCUGUACUUGGUGUUACUGCGAAGGGGGGACGGAGAAGGCUAUGUUGGCCGGGCGACGGUUGUCCCGGUUUAAGCGUGUAGGCUGGUUUUCCAGGCAAAUCCGGAAAAUCAAGGCUGAGGCGUGAUGACGAGGCACUACGGUGCUGAAGCGACAAAUGCCCUGCUUCCAGGAAAAGCCUCUAAGCAUCAGGUAACAUUAAAUCGUACCCCAAACCGACACAGGUGGUCAGGUAGAGAAUACCAAGGCGCUUGAGAGAACUCGGGUGAAGGAACUAGGCAAAAUGGUGCCGUAACUUCGGGAGAAGGCACGCUGAUAUGUAGGUGAAGCGACUUGCUCGUGGAGCUGAAAUCAGUCGAAGAUACCAGCUGGCUGCAACUGUUUAUUAAAAACACAGCACUGUGCAAACACGAAAGUGGACGUAUACGGUGUGACGCCUGCCCGGUGCCGGAAGGUUAAUUGAUGGGGUUAGCGGUAACGCGAAGCUCUUGAUCGAAGCCCCGGUAAACGGCGGCCGUAACUAUAACGGUCCUAAGGUAGCGAAAUUCCUUGUCGGGUAAGUUCCGACCUGCACGAAUGGCGUAAUGAUGGCCAGGCUGUCUCCACCCGAGACUCAGUGAAAUUGAACUCGCUGUGAAGAUGCAGUGUACCCGCGGCAAGACGGAAAGACCCCGUGAACCUUUACUAUAGCUUGACACUGAACAUUGAGCCUUGAUGUGUAGGAUAGGUGGGAGGCUUUGAAGUGUGGACGCCAGUCUGCAUGGAGCCGACCUUGAAAUACCACCCUUUAAUGUUUGAUGUUCUAACGUGGGCCCCUUACCGGGGUUGCGGACAGUGUCUGGUGGGUAGUUUGACUGGGGCGGUCUCCUCCUAAAGAGUAACGGAGGAGCACGAAGGUUGGCUAAUCCUGGUCGGACAUCAGGAGGUUAGUGCAAUGGCAUAAGCCAGCUUGACUGCGAGCGUGACGGCGCGAGCAGGUGCGAAAGCAGGUCAUAGUGAUCCGGUGGUUCUGAAUGGAAGGGCCAUCGCUCAACGGAUAAAAGGUACUCCGGGGAUAACAGGCUGAUACCGCCCAAGAGUUCAUAUCGACGGCGGUGUUUGGCACCUCGAUGUCGGCUCAUCACAUCCUGGGGCUGAAGUAGGUCCCAAGGGUAUGGCUGUUCGCCAUUUAAAGUGGUACGCGAGCUGGGUUUAGAACGUCGUGAGACAGUUCGGUCCCUAUCUGCCGUGGGCGCUGGAGAACUGAGGGGGGCUGCUCCUAGUACGAGAGGACCGGAGUGGACGCAUCACUGGUGUUCGGGUUGUCAUGCCAAUGGCACUGCCCGGUAGCUAAAUGCGGAAGAGAUAAGUGCUGAAAGCAUCUAAGCACGAAACUUGCCCCGAGAUGAGUUCUCCCUGA